rnacentral:rRNA from 1 species
UACAGAGGGUGCAAGCGUUAAUCGGAAUUAUUGGGCGUAAAGGGCUUGUAGGCGGUUAGAUAAGUUAGGUGUGAAAACCCUGGGCUCAACCUGGGGCUGGCACUUAAUACUGUUUAGCUAGAGUAUAGGAGAGGAGAAGGGAAUUCCUGGUGUAGCGGUGAAAUGCGUAGAUAUCAGGAGGAACACCGGUGGCGAAGGCGCUUCUCUGGCCUAAUACUGACGCUGAGGAGCGAAGGCGUGGGGAUCAAACAGG